CGGAGGCGCAGGUUUUCGAUCCCGGCACUUCUCGCAUGCUAAGGGACCGCUCUACCAUCUGAGCUACGCCUCC